UGCUCUUCAACUCUCUCUCUCUCCCUCUAUCUUUAGUCCACCUCUAUAUCAACUGUUCUACUUCUUCUUGUUGCAAUAGUAUCAGGGAAAGCCGGGAAAGUACAAAGGAUCUACCACAAAACAAUGGGGAAGAAGAAGAAAUUUAUUGAUAAGAAAAAAUCCGCCACCUUCCAGCUCAUGGCCCGCGACACCUCCGACCCCAAUUACUCAUCUGAGCCCUCCGGUGACCGGGUUUUUGUCCGUGUCGACAACAAUGAGUACACGCCGGACUCAUUCAUGAACGACGGCGACCUGCCUGCGGACCCUGACUCGAUUUUCGGCGAUGCCCCCGAGGACUGUAACGAUGAGGAUGCAAAUGGCGGGGUUGGAGGAGUGUCUAAUAAUAGAAGUCAAACGAUGGCGUUGCCGGACCACAUACGGAAGGAGAUUCUGGAGCUAGGUUUUCCGGAUGACGGGUACAAUUAUUUGACCCAUUUGCGGGAGAUUAAGAAUACAGGUGGUGGUUCGGCGUAUUAUGAUAAUCCCAAGGCUAAUUUUGAUCAGCUUCCCCGGGAUGUCAAGGCCUAUGAUGCUACAAGGGUUGACGUUUCCAAGUUAACUGAUGCUUCUGAGGACAAAUCUAUCUACAGUGUGGCACAACAGUCUGUCGGUGUAAGAUUACAGAAAGUAAUGGAUCCUGAAGUGGCUGCAAUACUGGAUGACAGUGAUUCGUCAAAGUUUGGGUCCGAUAUCGAGGAUUUGGAAGAGGACUUUGUUGUCAGAGCAAAUCUUUUGGAAGGACCAGUUCAUGAAGAAAUUGACAAGAAAUUGAGCUGUACAGCGGAUUCAAGGGUUAACCAGUUACAAAAUCUGGAUUCAGGUCUUUCUAAAGCACCAGAGGAUGGGGCUUCCGUGUCAGGCUUAGACAGUCAUAAGCCUAGAGUUCGUCGUCCUCUAGAUGAGCAAUUUGACUUGCUUGAACUUCAUGAAUAUGGUGCUGAUAGUGAAGAAGAAUAUAAUGGGUACAUGGAUGAGUAUGAAUGUCAAGAAUCCCUUACAGAAAAGCUUAACCAUGCUUUCAAGGACCAUCCUUCAGAUAUCUUGCAUCUUAACGGGGAAGGAGAUGAUAAUGAGUCACCAGAAUUAACUGCUGAAGUGAUUCGCCGAUGCAGGGAAUAUGCUGAAAAAUACGAAAAUGAUGAUCAUGAUGUAGAGGAAGUGUUGGUUGAAGAAAGUAGUGAUGAAUCAGAAGUGUGGGAUUGCGAAACUAUCAUUUCUACUUAUUCAACACUUGACAAUCACCCUGGUAAAAUUGGAGCUCCAGAAGCAAGGAGGAAGAAGAAGCUGGCUGAAGCACUAUUGGGUACUUCAGCUAGCCCCAAUCAAGUGAUAACACUUAAAGGAAAAGAGAGACUUCCCGUAGACUUUUUGCCUCGUAGUAAAAGACAUGGCGAAGAAAAGACCAAAGACGAGAACAAUGUCAAUGAUAAGAGAACUGAGCUCCAGAAAAGGAAGCCGCGUGGUCAAGAGUCCAAGGAGGAAAAGAAAGAAAGGAAGAAUACCAUAGUUGUCAACUGGAACUAUCCCUUUGCAGUCUGCUGUGAAAUUAGAACGACGUGAGGCACGGCAAAUGAAAAAAGAGAUGAAAGGGCUUUACAAGUCUGAGGCCCACCGUGCUCAGAAGGUUGCAGCUUUUACUGGUCCAUCAUCUAUUCAUCUUAUGUGACUGUGUCACACCUGUGCUCAAGAUUCACCUGCAUUUCUCCCUUAUCAGUACAAUCAUGGAUUUGCAGCAUAAGUGGCUCCAUGAGCAGAUACUCAAGCUUGCAGAUGUUCUGUAAGAGUAAAUUUUGCAGAGGUUUAUGGAUAUUGAGCUGCAUCCCAGUUUUGAUAUAUCUUUUAUUUAAUGGCUAUUGUGAUGUUUUUCUGGAUUUUGAUGAAGAUUUUCAGUUAGCAUAUGUUGCUCUGUGUUAUACAAAAGUUGUUUCUUGGAAGAUGGAAAAGAGAAGAUAUACGAAAUUGACUAGUUGCAUGCUGGUAUUUGUGUAGCAUUGCCUGAUGCUAUAUGUCUAUUGUUUAGAUUGCAUAAUUUGUUUGAGCAGCAUAAGGUGUCUUAUAUGAUUUUGGGUAUUGUUGAGUUUAUUGAA